UAUUUCCACUAAUUUCUCAAUUAAUUUUAUGUUAUCGUCAUUUAUUUUCCUAAUGACAUGUUUAUACUGCUAUUUCCUUGGUGUUGUUCUUUAUUUUGUUAAAUUGUUCUUUAGUUCUUGUUCUUAAUUUCUUCCAUUAGUUAUUUUUUAUUAUAUUUUAUUAUUUCUUAAACAGACUCAACUAUUUUAUGAUAUUAUUUUUUCUUUUAAUUAUUAUAUUUUUUUUUCGUUUUAUUAUUUAUCAUGUUUUAUUUAAUUUUCUUCGGCACAAGUUUCUUUAAUUUUUUGCAAUUUUAAUUUUGUCUUAGUAGUUUCUUUUAUUUUUCCAAUUAAAUUUGUUUUAUUACAUUCUACUUAUUUUACAUUUAAUUUCCUGUCUCUCUAGAUAAGCUAGUUAUUGGACCUAUGAACUAAUGAGCUCAUAACUAUAACUUAUUCGAAUGGGAUCCAUAGUCAACGAAGUAUGUCUAUAAAUGUUAUUUUAGUUGUAGUUUGACUUCACUUUUUGCAUUAAUUCAAAUUUGACUAUAAUUUCUGACCAAGUACUAACUUGAGCAGUGCAAGAUCUUCUGCAGACACCCCACCAUUUGUUAGAAGAUGAAGGAGGCUU
rnacentral:lncRNA from 1 species